UGUUGAGUUAUUUAAAUUCUCUUAUUCUGGUUCUACAAUUUUGUUAUGAGAAUCCUUGUUUGAGUGGAAUUCUACAGAUUUCAGAAUCAGAUCAUCUGAUCUUUCUGAAACUUUGGUAUGUUCUUCUCCUAUAUUAGAUUACUUUGGUAUGUUCUUCUAUAUUAGAGUAGUAUUUGACCAGAAUUUAAAUCAUAUCUGAUUCUUUGAUUCUUUGUUAUUGAAUUUUCUUUGAAUCUGGUUCCUUCUUUCCUGCGAUUCUGAAGAUUUCUGUUGGUUUCUAAACCCUAUUGUUGUUGUUGAUUCGAACCACAUUAACUAGAGGCUAGUUGAUGCAUUUGCCAGUGA